rnacentral:rRNA from 1 species
GCUGGCGGCAAGCCCUCAACAANCGAAUCUAGGGGGUGUAGCAAUACAUCACCGGCGGACGGGUGCGAUACCCGCGGGAAUAUACAAAUCGGUACGGAACAACUGAGGGAAACUUCAGCUAAUACCGUAUACGUCCUAACGGAGAAAGAUUUAUCGCCGAAGGAUUAGCCCGCGCUCGAUUAGCUAGUUGGUGAGGUAAUGGCUCACCAAGGCUACGAUCGAUAGCUGUUCUGAGAGGAAGAUCAGCCACACUGGGACUGAGACACGGCCCAUAUUCCUACGGGAGGCAGCAGUGGG